UACGUAGGGGGCAAGCGUUGUCCGGAAUUAUUGGGCGUAAAGCGCGCGCAGGCGGCUUUGUAAGUCUAGUGUUUAAUCUCGGAGCUCAACUCCGAUUCGCACCGGAAACUGCAAGGCUUGAGUACAGAAGAGGAAAGUGGAAUUCCACGUGUAGCGGUGAAAUGCGUAGAGAUGUGGAGGAACACCAGUGGCGAAGGCGGCUUGCUGGACAGUAAC
rnacentral:rRNA from 1 species